rnacentral:ncRNA from 2 species
CUGCCGCCGCCAGGAGAGUGUGGAGCCCGCGAAGCUGCGGGCAGCCACCGCCGAAGGCGCAGGGCGCAAGCCCGAACGCUCAGGCACAAGGACUGGCAAGCGCUU